CGGUAAUUCCAGCUCCAAUAGCGUAUACUAAAGUUGUUGCAGUUAAAAAGCUCGUAGUUGGAUUUCUGCGGGGACGGAGCGGCCGGACGCAACUUGCGUCUCGAGCUAGCGCUUUCCCCGCAUCCUGCCGCGAACCGUGCUGCCAUUAGUUUGGUGGCGCUGGGGAUCGGCUCGAUUACUUUGAGAAAAAUAGAGUGUUCAAAGCAGGCCACACGCCUUGAAUAAGUUAGCAUGGAAUAAUGACUAAGGACUUUGGUUCUUUUCGUUGGUGUUCGGGACUGAAGUAAUGAUUGAUAGGGACAGUUGGGGCGGUCCGUAUUCCAAAGCGAGAGGUGAAAUUCUUAGACCUUCGGAAGACGAGCAGCUGCGAAAGCGUUCCGCAAGGAUGUUCCCUUUGAUCAAGAACGAAAGUUGGGGGAUCGAAGACGAUCAGAUACCGUCGUAGUCUCAACUAUAAACUAUACCAGCUAGGGAUCGGCCAACGUUUAAUUAUUCGACUUGGUCGGCACCUUAUGAGAAAUCAAAGCAUCUGGGUUCCGGGGGGAGUAUGGUCGCAAGGCUGAAACUUAAAGGAAUUGACGGAAGGGCACCACCAGCUGUGGAGCCUGUGGCUUAAUUUGACUCAACACGGGAAAACUUACCAGGUCCAGACAUAGGAAGGAUUGACAGAUUGAUAGCUCUUUCUUGAUUCUGUGGGUGGUGGUGCAUGGCCGUUUUUAGUCGGUGAAGUGAUUUGUCUGCUUAAUUGCGUUAACGGACGAGACCCCAGCCUGCUAAAUAGCGCGGCCGAGCUUUGCUCGGUGCGAGCUUCUUAGAGGGACCAUGAUGCGCGAUAGCACAAGGAAGUUUGGGGCAACAACAGGUCUGUGAUGCCCUUAGAUGUUCUGGGCCGCACGCGGGCUACACUGGCGCCUGCAUCGAGCAUAUCAGCUGGCCCGAGAGGGUCUUGGCUAAUCUUUUGAACCGGCGCCGUGCUUGGGAUUGACCUUUGCAAUUGUUGGUCAUGCAACGAGGAAUGCCUUGUAAACGCGAGACAUCAGCUCGCAUUGAAUACGUCCCUGCCCUUUGUACACACCGCCCGUCGCUCCUACCGAUGAAUGUUCCGAUGAAAUUUUCGGAGAGUGCCUGUGAAGCCGGCCCUGCCUGUCGAACGGGAUGCUCAAAGUCACUUAGAUCUGAACAUUUCGAGGAAGGAGAAGUCGUAACAAGGUAGCCG
rnacentral:rRNA from 1 species